UACGUAGGGGGCAAGCGUUGUCCGGAUUUAUUGGGCUUAAGGAGCGUGUAGGCGGCCAUACAGGUCCGUUGUGAAAACUCGAGGCUCAACCUCGAGACGCCGAUGGAAACCGUCUGGCUAGAGUCCGGAAGAGGAGAGUGGAAUUCCUGGUGUAGCGGUGAAAUGCGCAGAUAUCAGGAAGAACACCCGUGGCUAAGGCGGCUCUCUAGUACGGUACUGACGCUGAGACGCGAAAGCGUGGGGAGCGAACAGG
rnacentral:rRNA from 1 species